rnacentral:rRNA from 1 species
GAUGAACGCUGGCGGCGUGCCUAAUACAUGCAAGUAGAACGCUGAAGGAGGAGCUUGCUCUUCUGGAUGAGUUGCGAACGGGUGAGUAACGCGUAGGUAACCUGCCUGGUAGCGGGGGAUAACUAUUGGAAACGAUAGCUAAUACCGCAUGACAACAGUUAUUGCAUGAUAACUGUUUAAAAGGGGCAACUGCUCCACUACCAGAUGGACCUGCGUUGUAUUAGCUAGUUGGUGAGGUAACGGCUCACCAAGGCGACGAUACAUAGCCGACCUGAGAGGGUGAUCGGCCACACUGGGACUGAGACACGGCCCAGACUCCUACGGGAGGCAGCAGUAGGGAAUCUUCGGCAAUGGACGGAAGUCUGACCGAGCAACGCCGCGUGAGUGAAGAAGGUUUUCGGAUCGUAAAGCUCUGUUGUAAGAGAAGAACGAGUGUGAGAGUGGAAAGUUCACACUGUGACGGUAUCUUACCAGAAAGGGACGGCUAACUACGUA